GACGAACGCUGGCGGCGUGCUUAACACAUGCAAGUCGAACGGAAAGGCCCUGCUUGCAGGGUACUCGAGUGGCGAACGGGUGAGUAACACGUGGGUGAUCUGCCCUGCACUUCGGGAUAAGCCUGGGAAACUGGGUCUAAUACCGGAUAGGAGCCAUUUUUAGUGUGAUGGUUGGAAAGUUUUUUCGGUGUAGGAUGAGCUCGCGGCCUAUCAGCUUGUUGGUGGGGUAAUGGCCUACCAAGGCGGCGACGGGUAGCCGGCCUGAGAGGGUGGACGGCCACAUUGGGACUGAGAGACGGCCCAGACUCCUACGGGAGGCAGCAGUGGGGAAUAUUGCACAAGGGGCGCAAGCCUGAUGCAGCGACGCCGCGGGGGGGAUGACGGCCUUCGGGUUGUAAACUCCUUUCGCUAGGGACGAAGCUUUUUGUGACGGUACCUAGAGAAGAAGCACCGGCUAACUACGUG
rnacentral:rRNA from 1 species